rnacentral:rRNA from 1 species
AGGUCUUGCCUGCCCAGUGACAAGUUAAACGGCCGCGGUAUUUUGACCGUGCGAAGGUAGCGCAAUCACUUGUCUUUUAAAUGAAGACCUGUAUGAAUGGCGGAACGAGGGCUUAACUGUCUCCCCUUUCAAGUCAAUGAAAUUGAUCUGCCCGUGCAGAAGCGGGCAUGCAACUACAAGACGAGAAGACCCUUUGGAGCUUAAGAUACAAGAUCAACUAUGUCAAAAGUAUCCAAAAUAAAACUAAACUAAAUAGCACCUGAUCUAUAUCUUCGGUUGGGGCGACCACGGGAGAAAGCAAAGCUCCCACGUGGACUGGGGCUAACCCCCUAAAACCAAGAAAGACAUUUCUAAGUCACAGAAUAUCUGACCAUAAAGAUCCGGCUACCUGCCGAUCAACGGACCAAGUUACCCUAGGGAUAACAGCGCAAUCCCCUUUCAGAGUCCAUAUCGACAAGGGGGUUUACGACCUCGAUGUUGGAUCAGGACAUCCUAAUGGUGCAGCCGCUAUUAAGGGUUCGUUUGUUCAACGAUUAAAGUCCUACGUGAUCU